CUAUAUACUUUCCUCGUCAAAAAUAUUCACAUUAUAAAAACAGAUUCAACCGCAUGCCCGUGCACGUAGAAAAGAAGUAGAAGAAGAAGAUGGAGAAAUUGAAAGAAAUCCCAUCUGAAAUUGUGUUUGCAAUUCUAACUUGGCUACCCGUUAAGGCUUUGGACAGAUUUAAGUGUGUAUCAAAAUCUUGGUCCUCAAUUAUUCUCCAACCUGAAUUCGUGAAAUCACAUAGGCCUUCCGGCUGCAUACUUCUCAAUAUCGAUAUUUCGAUGAAGAAAGGCCUCUUUUACGCAUCCAUAAAUGUAAGAGGUGAUUCGUUACGACACGAGCAAAUCGAAGAUUUAAAGACAGAAACAUUUGUUCAACGAUUAAGCAUGCCCUGUUUUGGUUAUGAUAACAUUACUCCAUUUUAAACGGCCUUGCUUGCCUUUACAAGGGCAAUCAAGUUUCACUUUUUAAUAUAUUUACUUGUGAGAUUAUGGAGCUUUUCCCUUCCCGUAUAUAUAUUGUAGGUCCUGGAAUUUGGUAUGCACUUGGUUUCGACCCUGUGGAUAAUGUAUACAAAUUGCUUAAAGUUAGUUCGCAACUAGAUUACAAGAUCCUCACUCUGAAUCCAAGUUCAAAAUCGACAUGGAAAUGGAGAACGAUGGAUGUUCCGCAUAUAGUAUCCAUAAUUUCUGUCAAGGAUCAACGUUAAUUUGUAAAUGGGGUAAUCUUUUGGAAAUGUUGUGACUGGCGAGAAGAAUUUAUUAUAGCUUUUGAUGUCCACAAAGAAAAUUUCACCACUAUAAACCCUCCAACAAGCUUACAGAUUAGAAGAUUAGGUCAAUUUGAGGGGCGCCUAGCACUAUCUUAUACACAGUGGAAGAACCCUAAUUCUUGGGUUUUGGAUAUUUUGGUGUUAGAAAAUCAUCAAAAUUCUAUAUGGAAUAAAAUCACUAUUGAUUUGCCAGCUGAAGUAGAUGAACACUUUUAUAUGGCUACACCUAUUGGAAACUUUCCUUGUGGUGAGUUGUUAUUCUCUUGCUUUGGCUUUGUAAGUGUAAUAAUGGAGAUGGACUACUUAUUUUAUACUUAUGAUCCUAUCAAGAAAAAAUUCACCAAUUUGAUGAUUGAGCUUCCUGCAUAUGUGGACCGUCUAUGUCCAUAUCCUGUUGAUCAUAUGUCUUGUCUUUUCGGGAAGAUUACCACACUGGAUGAUUUACUUGGAUUUAGAAAAAGAGUUGAAUAAUAAUGAUUAGGAGAUGUGUAGUUAGAGAUGGAUUCAUUAUUUAUACUUGUUUUUGUUCGGUAUUUAAGUUUCUUAGUAUUAGACUCAUUGUACUUUUAAAUUUAUGUCUAAAUUUAAUAUUCGUUUAAUCA